UGUAGGAGUGAGCCUGCUCGCGAUAGCGGUGUGUCAGACAAAAUUAAUUGACUGACCCACCGCUAUCGCGAGCAGGCUCACUCCUACA
rnacentral:antisense_RNA from 1 species